rnacentral:rRNA from 1 species
GAUGAACGCUGGCGGCGUGCCUAAUACAUGCAAGUCGAGCGAACGGACGAGAAGCUUGCUUUUCUGAUGUUAGCGGCGGACGGGCGAGUAACACGUGGAUAACCUACCUAUAAGACUGGGAUAACUUCGGGAAACCGGAGCUAAUACCGGAUAAUAUUUUGAACCGCAUGGUUCAAAAGUGAAAGACGGUCCUGCUGUCACUUAUAGAUGGAUCCGCGCUGCAUUAGCUAGUUGGUAAGGUAACGGCUUACCAGGGCAACGAUGCAUAGCCGACCUGAGAGGGUGAUCGGCCACACUGGAACUGAGACCCGGUCCAGACUCCUACGGAGGCAGCAGUAGGGAAUCUUCCGCAAUGGGCGAAAGCCUGACGGAGCAACGCCGCGUGAGUGAUGAAGGUCUUCGGAUCGUAAAACUCUGUUAUUAGGGAAGAACAUAUGUGUAAGUAACUGUGCACAUCUUGACGGUACCUAAUCAGAAAGCCACGGCUAACUACGUG